CAAUGCCUGUUGAGCUUUCCUGCAUCAGAGCAGGCUGCAGGACUAGAGCUGCCCUUGAGGAGGAACACCUUCUCCUCAAGGCUGAGAGAAUCCUUGUCCUACCAGAAGAAGUGAAUUAGGAAUAAGUGUGCUGAAACUUUGAAAUCUUAGCUAAGUGAUACACAGAAUUGCUUGGGCAUGUACAGUCCUUCAGACUUAAACCACUGACCAAGUUUGUGUCUAUGUCUGGAUACAGCUGCACAGACGCCCCUGAGAAAGGAGUUCAGAAUGCAAGGGGGCCUUCUGGAACCUUGUGUCUCAACAGGAGGGUCUCCCUGACACUUCUGGCUGACCUGUCCUCUCUGCAAUUUGCAAGGUUUGAAUGAAUCCAGCUAUAGAGGGUCCCAGUUCUGGAGCUCAAUUUCUUACCAACAUUUUACAACCCAGAGAGAGGGAAAAAAAGAUCUUUAAAAGAGACUGGCAGAAUAUGGUACCCAUAAAUCCAAGUUGGACAACAGUGUGUGGAGUUUUUUCCUGUCAUGUCUCUGUUUAGAAACCUCCUCAUCCAAUUUUAACCACGCCUGACAGCAGUCAAGAUUCCCAAAACACUCUGCUUCGGCAAAGCUCAUGGAAAACUGGGAGUCAAGAAGAACUCUUGGUGCCCCUGUACAGAGAAAGGCUGGGACAAGGAUUGACUCAUUGCUCAUGACUGGAGUGCUGGAUCAGAAAAUCAGCCUCAAGCCCCAUCUCAGCCCCCAGGAGUCCCAUCUCUGCUGCUGCCAUGGUUUGUUUCCUUCCCUUGCAGGCAGUGUGGAAUCAAGGUGUUUCUCAGACAUUUCAGUGCCUGAACUGUGAAAGAAGCAGCCUUGUUUAGAGCUCACUCCUCCAUGCAGAUGUCUUACUGGCCACCAGGAAAAAUGCUAAUGACAACAUUUUAACUCUCCUGGGUUUAAACUGGGAUUGAACAAGCCUGAAUACAUUUAGUUUUAUAAUUUCAGAUGCCAAUCGAAGUAUUAAAAAAAAAUAAUUGAGUUGUGAUUUUUAUCUUAACUCUAUCAGCAAAACAACAGCCUCCAGAAAGGUAGGUUGUGCUCUAUUUUGGAUUCAGUGCUACUGAGCAGAUGGUAUUUAUUGACAAACCUGCUGCUAAACUGUUUGCAUUCCCGGGGCUGUAGGUAGAGUCAGCCUGCAGCAUGCUCACUACUCAUUGGUAAAAUACUCAUUUCCCUGGAAAACCAUCUGAGUCAUUCAGCCAUGGCAGAAGCCCAGAACCAUCCACUCCCUCCACUAUCCCCAAGCACUAUUUAUAUGCAUCCAAGCCUGGACCACAUUUCCUGUGUGAUGCCUUCAUUACCUGCCCUAUAGUAAACAGAAGGCAGCAAAAUGAAUGAGAUGUAAAUUGUACAUAUAAUUUCCACUUUUCAUCUUUACUAAAAUGAACUAAAGCAUAGGUGCAGGAGAGUGGCCAUGAGCAAGGCUUUUUGCAUUAGCCUGGGCAGACAUCAGGGCCUGAAGGGCAGUUUCUUCCUCCAAGUAACAAGGGACAGGACAAGAGGAAAUAGCCUCAAGUUGUGCCAGAGGAGGUUCAGGUUUGAUAUAGGGAAAAAUUUCUUUGCCAAAAGGGUUGUCAAGCAUUGGAACAGGUUGCCCAGGGCAGUGGUGGAGGCAUCAUCCCUGGAGAUAUUUAAAAGCUGGGUAGAUGUGGUACUUGGAGACAUGGUUUGGUGGUGGCUGUGGCAAUACUGGGUUAAGGGCUGGACUUAAUGAUCUUAAAGGUCAUUUCCAACCUAAAUGAUUCUGUGAUUCUACCUGCAGACAUCCAGGAUAUGCAUAGGAUGGCCUGAACCCAGAGUAAGUCAGUGCACUGACUGAAGAGGGACAUUUGAACUCAGAUUUGGGCCUGACCAGCACAUGGAGUAAAGACAGAACUAUGGCUAAGGGAAACACUCAACUCAGGCACUUUUAUGUGGAAUUUAGGCUUUCUAAAACAGAAUAAAAUAAGUGAGUCCCUGCUGGGGAAGGAGGUAGUACAGAAUGGCUGCUGUGCCUCAGCUCACACCCUCUUUUAUUGCAAAAGAACUUCCCUGUUUAGACAGGCCCAAAGAGAUGUAGACAUUUGUAAUGUGUAUUUAAUCUUUCCAUCUCUUCUUUUCUUACUGUUUUGAUGUUCCCUCAGGCUUUGAAGAUUCAAAAUCACUUUUUCCUCAGAAACUACAAGCUUUAUAACAAAAAUAAGGCAGCUGGAAAUUGCCUGCUGCCAGUGAGACUGAAGAGGUUGUAACUUUUCCCAGCACAGGAAAUGUUCAAUAAUUUAGUAUCAGUGACCAUGUAUUAAUGCAUUUCUGCCCUUAGGUCUAUAGAAAUCCUUCAUUCACGACAUUACACACCCCAGUUCAUUCACUAAUAUUUGUUCAGUGUUAUUUUGUUUUUCAAUGGUAUCAAAAGAGACAUCUCUGAUGCUGACCCUGCUCGCCUUUGUUGUUCUCUUCACAUUUAUUUGGUCUGGCUGGAAUGGAGUUGAUCUUCCCCACAGCAGCCCUCAUAGGGUUGUGCUGUGUACUGAUAUUCAAUUUUAAUUUUUUCUCCAUUCCUCCAGCUGAAUAUACAGAUGGGCUCUUGGUCGAGGAGGGGACCUGAUCAUGGAGGCCACCACAGUGGUCAUAUAUGGAUGUGAAACGUGCUGCAAUCAAGUUAAAUCCCCCUGGCAGAGAGGGUUAUGGCUGGGUUUUGAUAUGGCAGGUCCUGGCAAUGUUCUGGACUGUUCUGUUCACAGCCAUGAAGAUAGCAAGGUGAACACUACACAGUCACCACAGUGGGAGCAACCACCAGGAAUGAAUUGGGCUGAAAAAGAGGGAGUUUCACAAGGCAUUGAGUGACUGCAAUGAUGACACAAACCAAGCUGGUGUUGGUGCCCAAGAACUUCACAUGCUGCUUCUCCUGCCCUGAGCACCCAUCUUGAAAGAUGGGCUCAAACUACAGCCUGAUCUUAUGAACAUUUGGAGGAGUAGAAGAAACCUACAGAAUGGGAGUGUCUGUUAAAGGACAGGGGAUAUUAGUUAAUAAGAAUGUAUAAACCUUUGUGCUGGGUACAAAAAUGGUUUAAGUAUGCAGCAUAAGUUGGUAAGAAGAUAUUUCAGUAGUCCUUGUUCCCUGUCAUGAUCAAUAAGGAAUAUGCUGAAGCACCUAAGAAACACCUUCUAUAUCAUACAUAUAUUAUGAAAAGAUAAAAGUUUUAGGUACUAGUGAAAUACACAGUACUGUGAGUGCAAGUGUUUCCUGCUUUAGUGCUUUUAUAUGUGUACUGCAAUAGAAAACGGUUGGUGUUGUGGCAGUCUACCCACAUAUUUAUGGUGUAUUUCAGUUUAGGGAUAAUUUAAGCAAUACAGUUUUAAUCAGCACCCUAAAAUAUGAGUUGACUGUCAGAAGCUGCUAGAUUUUUGUUUAUAACACUCAUAUUCAACUGCCUACUUUUUACUCUCCUUACUUUUUGUAUUUUUACUUCAAAGUAAAAAUAACUAUUGCUGUGUUCUAUCUUCUGUUUGUAUGAGUGUUCACACUUAUAUUAGUGUACUAUAAAUGCA